rnacentral:misc_RNA from 1 species
GAUGAAGAACGUAGCGAAAUGCGAUAAGUAGUGUGAAUUGCAGAAUUCAGUGAAUCAUCGAAUCUUUGAACGCACAUUGCGCCCAUUAGUAUUCUAGUGGGCAUGCCUGUUCGAGCGUCAUUUCAACCCUUAAGCCUAGCUUAGUAUUGGGAAUCGACUUUACUGUCGUUCCUCAAAUUCAACGGCGGAUUUAUAGCAAUCUCUGAACGUAGUAAUUUUUUUCCUCGUUUUUGAAAUACUAUAAACCUCAGCCGCUAAACCCCCAAUUUUUCUAUGGUUGACCUCGGAUCAGGUAGGAAUACCCGCUGAACUUAAGCAUAUCAAUAAGCGGAGGA